rnacentral:lncRNA from 1 species
UCUCUCUUUAUCAUUUGAAUACUAAGCCUCAUCUCGAUAUCUUGUAGAAAUUCAAACAUGUGUCUAUUGCAAAGAUGAACAAAUCAAGAAAACGAAACACAAAAUUAUCAAAGACAGAUACAACAAACACAACAAAUAUAUCAAUAAGCCAUAAAAACUUUCACUUUUGUCAUGAAAUGACCAUCAAAGUAUACUGCAGAAGAAAUAAGUAGGCAUAUUCAUAAACAAAAGCAUAUUACCUCAAAUAGAUCUGAAGAUGGUUGCGUAUUUUGUGAUUAAUAGAAUAUUUUGAGUGAUUAUAACAUUUCUGGCUAGAAAGGUUAGAUGGUUGGACCGUAGAGGCAAUGGACCAAAGAAUGCUAUGGUACAAGAAGAUUU